GUCGGGCUCCAUGGCGUAUGGGCCCCCAGCCCCUGGCCCCACCUGAUUUAUGAACCGAGGCUGUCUCCAUGAGCGUCUGGGUUUCUCCUUUUGUAUUCCAUCUGGCGGCUUUUCCAACUAGAUGACUGGCCCGGCUGGAAACAUUAGAAGGGACCGAAGCAGCGAGAUGUCUAAAAUAGGAAGACGCCAGGGACGACUGGCCUGGCUGCCCGCGACGCUGGCUGCGGGGAUCUGGCCCGGCUGUGCAGAUGGAAAAGCUCAGAGACAUUUCCUGCAGUGUGGGGGAUGCAGAAAUUGACUCAUCCAUCCAUUCAGUCAGACGCUAGAUUUUUUUUUGAGCAUCUACUCCACGCCAGACACCGGGCCAGGUGCUGGGUUUGCAGUGGGGAGCAAGUGGCAGUGUCUCGUCUCUUGGAGCUCACAGGUAAACAGGUUUUGUGGUGAGUCAGGAAAAAAACCCAAGAAGCCUGGAAGCGUUUUACCGACAUGGCAGUGACGGCAGUCAUGCAAUUCAGCAAACUUUAGCCAGAGACUGUGCCAAGUGCUGGAGACACAGAAAUGAAUCAGAGUCCCUGCCCGCCCGCCGGUGAGGAUCUCCACGAGGAUAGAGGUGGGAGGGAGAAGAGGGACACCCAAGGCAUCUGCCAGGAGCGGGCGGGUCAGCAGCGUGAACGCCCCCUGCUGGCCACAGGGAGGGUUGGAAGCGAUCUUUCAGGAUGGCUCGUUCCAUCCUCUGAUUUUUGUUAUCAGCCACCAAGUGCUGCGGGGUGGGCUGAGCCACCAUUCACCCAGCCGUCCUCUACUGAGGGACGUCCGGGCUGGUCCCUGUCUUACAUGAUUACAAGCCGUGCUGCUGUGACCCUCAGCACACACAUCUAUCUCUGUACACCAGCGUUAGUAUUGUUGGAUUCUCGGAAGCAGAAUUGCUGUGUCAAAAGACAUGAGAACUUAAAAUCUGGAUUAGUGUGGCUUACUGGAGCAGCUUCCCCUCACGGCUGGUAAGAAGCACUGCAAAUUCUCCGGGGCCUGGAGAAGUCCUGUAGGGGCCUUUCAGGAUCUGGGACCUCAGCAUCUCAGGUGCUCCAGAAUGACUCUGGGGCUCAGGUGUCUCCAAGUAGAUGGACCUGCCUCUUCCUACAGAGUCAGACCCAGGGCAAUACUGCCCAAUCAACUUGUUGGUCCAUCCCUCCAUCCAGCUAUCCGAGCAUCCAUCCAUCCAUUCAUUACUCACUCAUCCAUCCAAGCAUCCAUCCACCAUUCCAUCCACCCACCCACCCCUCCAUCCAUCACUCACCCAUCCAAGCAUCUAUCCAUCCACCUUCCCAGCGACCCACCCACCCACCCAUCCAUCCAUUUAGUAUUUGGUGAGCACUGAUGAUGGCUUCGGUACUCUGCUGCUGGUGGUGAAUACAAUCAUAUUCCUGCCUUUUUAGUCUUCACUGUCUGGUGAAGGCAGGUCUACACAUGCCAGGUACUGAGAAUACAGCAGGAAACACAAGAGGAAAACAGUCCCUGCUUUCCAGGGUUUACAUUCUAGUGGAAGAGAUGGAUAACAAACACAUACACAAACGUGGUAUGUGGGGGGAUGAUAAGGGUUCAUGAGGGAGAUAAGGCAGAGUGAAGGGGGUAGGAAGCCCUGGGAGUCAGGCUGUGUGUCAUCUGGUCAGAGGAGGCCUCUCUGAGCAGAUGCCCAGGGCAGUGAUGGAGGGAGCUGUGCAGAUACUGGGGGGCAGGGGUAGUGUCAAAGGCAGAGGGAACAGCCAGUGCAAAGGCUCUGAGGCAGGGAUGUUCAGUAACAGCCGAGGAGGCCAGCAUGGGGGUGGCGGGAGACCAGGUCAGCUCCCAAAGGUCUUGUCGGCAGGGAAGGGCUUAACUGUUACUGAGUGAGGAGGGGCCUGUGGAAAGUCUGGGGCAGAGGGAGGUUGGUUGCCGGGUUGGGCAUAGAUCACAGGGGGCCAGGGCUGAAGCAGGGACAAGGGUCAGGAGGCCAACGAGAGAUUUUGGACCACAUGGUUGGGUGGAGGUGUGAGGAGGGUGGGGAGGGGUAUAUUUUGAAGGUAGCCACAGGCUUUCCUCAUGGACUGGAUAAACAGGAGUGAAGGACAACACCGAGGUUUUUGGCCUCAUGAACCAGAAGAAUGGGGACGAGGGAAGAGGAGCAGGUGGAGGAAGGGAGUUUGAACCGAGAGCUUGAUCUGAACGUGGGUAGUUGGAUGUGCAUGUUAGCCAUCAGGCAGAGAGGUGAGGAGCAGCCCGUGGGGUGCAGCCUGGGGUUGGGGGACAGGUCCAGGCUGAAGACAGAAACAUGGGGCUGUCAGCGUGCACAUGCCUGGAUGCCAGCCCCAAGAGACAGAGAAAAUGGAGUAGAGGUCUGGGGGCCCAUUCCUGGGGCGCCCCAUCAUUAAGAGGGCAGGGAGAUGAGGAAGAACCUGUCAAGAGAACAGGGAAGGAGCAGCCAGUGAGCAGGAGGAGGAGGACACGGAGGGCGGGGACUGGGAGCCAAGGGGAGGAGGGAUUUCAACCCCGGGGGGCAUGACUGCUGUGUCAGGGGAUGCUGAGUACCCGCGUGAGCUGGGGGCACAACACUGACCGCUGGGUUUGGCAACAUAGUGCCACCUGGGCAGAGACGGGGGAACUCAGGUAAUUGUGGGAGCCCCAAGGAAGGGCACUGAACAAGGAGGGCUUCCUGGAGGAAGGGGUGUCCAACUGGGAGUCUGAGGGACACAUAUACAUUCGCCAGGUAGAAAGGGGAUGUCCCCACUGAGCAAUCAGUACAAGGCCAGGAGGCGAGAGUAGUCACAGCUUGUUUGAGAAACUGAAGAUAAGUCUGGCUGUAAUAUGGGGUGCGGGAUGGGUGAGAUGGAGGGGGGUGUUAUCCUCACAGGACCCUAGAGAGGUCAGCAAGGCUGAUGGUGGGGUCCUUGAUUAGAGACCAGGCUUCGGUGGCAGAAGAAUGGGUGGGAAAGGGAGGAAGGGGGUGGUGGCUGGGGGAAUGGGGAGCCAGGAUGAGAAGUGAUUUGGGGAAGGGUGAUGAAUUCAGGUAAAUUUAGGGUGCUGAGGACGCUCAGGGGGAGACCUCCAGCAUCAUUGGGGCCCGUGGGCUGGGCACUGGGGUCUGGGAAGUGACCAUAAGUUCAGGGAGGAUGCUGGGAAGAGCUGGGUGGAGCUGAACCACACACUCAACUCUUUCCUGGUGCUGCCUGCCCGAGGUCAGCCUGUGUCCAGCCGCCCUCUGUGUGCUGGGAAGGGACCCCGGCAGCCUCCGGUCAUUGUGGCUUGUUCUUCCAGAGAGCAGGAGCCCAAGGGGAGCCCAGUGGUUCCUCUGGAUGGGCUGUUAUGUGCCUUGUCCCUCCCAUCUCCAUCCCAACCACAAGGCGCCUUUGUCACGCCCCUCGGGCACCUCAAAAGGAAGGGGCCCCCACUAUUUGCUGCAUGCCCAUAAACAUCGAUUCAUGGAACAGUAAUUUAUGGAGCACCUACUAGGUGCCAUCCUGGCCCUGGGAAAGCAAUGAUGACCCAGGCAGACAGGCCUCUGCCCUCCAGGGGCCCACCAUCCAACAGGAGAGGCAAGCAAUCCAUAUAGAAUUAGAUCAAGUGUUGUAUUAGAAGAGGGAGGCGGGGGACCCUUAGGGAUCAGAAGGGCUUCUAGCAGGAGACAACAUUUAAAGUAUAGGUCUGAAGGAUGAGUCAGAGUUAGCCAAGAAAAAAGGGGGGUGGACAAGAGUUUGAGGGAAUGGGAAUAGCAUGCAGAAGGCUCAGAGGUGAGAGAGAAUGACAAGUGGGAGGGAAAGAAAGGAUUCAGUGUGAUGGAGCAGGGGGUGCCUUGCGGUGGUGGUGGGUUGGGGUGUGCUGGUGGUGAAGAACCUCAGGAGGCAGGCUGAGGACCGUGGACCUUCUUCUGAGGGCAAUGGGGAGCCAUGGAGUGUCUUAAGCCGGCAGGGACUUGCUCAGGUUAAUCUGUGGGUGAAUUUGGAGACAGAGACCAGAAACACUCAGUCUCAGUCCAGGAUUAUCUCAUCCAAGGCUAGACACCCCCCUCCACCCUCUUGUAGCUCCCUUACAGGUUUGAACCCCUCCAGGGACCUAGAACUCACUACUUCAGGAGACAAGUCCUCAAGAUGAUUUAACAAGCUCCGUGAGAGCUCCACAAGCAGGCUCUGGGAGUCCAGUCUGGUCACUGGGAUACCCGCGAGCUUUUAACUCAGCGCGGCGAGGCGCGAGGUGGGCUGCGAAGCACCGCGGCGUGGAUAAUAGCCUGGCAGCUGGCGUUGAAAGGCUCCGGAGCCACCUACGGGGGCGAUUGGCUUGUUGCGUGCGAGCGCUCCGGAUGCCACCUGGUAAGGCUGUCGGCAGGAUGCUGAAGAAAUAAAUCUGUUCAUGAAGAUGCGCCGCCUCCUCCCCACCGCGCAGCACCCCACUCCCUCCCACCACCACUCCCGCCUCUUCCGGGGGCGGCUGAACCUGCCCCGCAGCGCCACCGUGUGGGCAAAGCGGGUCAGGACAGCAGGAGAUCGGUCACUCUGCUCCAGGUGCUAAGCGCUGGGCAGAGGAAAAGAAUCCCAUCCUAAAUGGCCUUUUCAGGCUGCAAGGCACACCAGGUCCUAUUCUUACUGAAUUAAAAAAAUUAUUUCUUCAGAAUGGAACUAUAUUUGCGGCCUGCUUGCGAUUCUUAAUCAUUUAAGUAAUACAUACUUACUGAAAAAAUAUGCAAUCUCCAUAGCUGGCAGAAAUUGAUCAUUUCCUCCCAGCAUUCAUCCUCCCCAGCCCCCUACUGAUUGCAUUUUGGCAAAUAGGCUUCUGGAUUUUUUUUUCUACAGGAAUAUAUAUAUAUAUUUCUAUUUGUCUUACUUAUUUUCUGUUUCCUUUAUUUCUUAUAUACACAUACAUGCAAAUGAGAUCAUAUUAUGUGUGCCUGAUGUUUUGCCAUUUGCUUUGCUUUUUAAAUUUGUUUUUGUCAACUGUUGAGCAGAGACAAAAGAAUAUUUAUCUAACACA